GUGUCACGCCCCGAGCCCGCCUCUUUGGUCGGAUUCGGGCACGCCAACAGACCGCCGAACGGACAGGGUUUCCCCUGUACCGCGGACAGAGUCUCCCCUGUACGUUCAAGGCGUCGCAAUCAAUACAAUGUACGAAGUUCCAACCAGGAACACAUUUCAAGCAAAGAUUGCAUAAGGAAGUAUCAAAAACAUAAAUCUACUUGCUAUUACAAGCAUUCACAUUCAUACAUUUUUACAUCACAAUUCUCAUUUGAUUCUUACAUUAGCUUUCACUUAACUUCCAAAUACAAUCCGAUUUUAACAUAGUUAUUACAACAUUGUUCUUACAAUUAUCACAUUUUUGGUUCUUUGCAUUUUAUACCCCUAAGAAGCCGACUCAGGGUGCUGCUAUCUGGUCUCAGUGGUAGGGCGCUAACUACGGAGCUACGCCCUUUCCUCGCGCCGCCGCGCCGCUCGCGUGUGGACCUGUAAAACCCCGAAACAACGUGGGGUGAGAACUAACUCCAUAGUUCCCAGUGGGUACGGCCACCCAAGGGAAGAGCUCGACCAUCAGGUCAAAGGAGGCAAACAACAUGUUAGUCCAAU
rnacentral:lncRNA from 1 species